rnacentral:rRNA from 1 species
CAGCAGUCGCCGCGGGAAAACGAAGGGUGCAAGCGUUACUCGGAAUUACUGGGCGUAAAGCGUGCGUAGGUGGUGGUUUAAGUCCGUUGUGAAAGCCCUGGGCUCAACCUGGGAAUUGCAGUGGAUACUGGGUCACUAGAGUGUGGUAGAGGAUAGUGGAAUUUCCGGUGUAGCAGUGAAAUGCGUAGAGAUCGGAAGGAACAUCUGUGGCGAAGGCGACUAUCUGGGUCAACACUGACGCUGAGGCGCGAAAGCGUGGGGAGCAAACAGGAUUAGAUACCCCCGUAGUCCCUGUCUCUUAUAC